rnacentral:rRNA from 1 species
UACGAAGGGGGCUAGCGUUGUUCGGAAUCACUGGGCGUAAAGCGCACGUAGGCGGAUUCUUAAGUCAGGGGUGAAAUCCCGAGGCUCAACCUCGGAACCGCCUUUGAUACUGGGGAUCUCGAGUCCGGGAGAGGUGAGUGGAAUUGCGAGUGUAGAGGUGAAAUUCGUAGAUAUUCGCAAGAACACCAGUGGCGAAGGCGGCUCACUGGCCCGGUACUGACGCUGAGGCACGAAAGCGUGGGGAGCAAACAGG